rnacentral:RNase_P_RNA from 1 species
AUGAGGAAAGUCCGGGCUCCGCAGGGCAGGAUGCCGGAUAACGUCCGGCGUAGGUAACUAUAGGGAAAGUGCAACAGAAACAUUCCGCCGAAACGGAUAAUGCCGUGGUAAGGUUGAAAUGGUGAGGUAAGAGCUCACCGGCGGCAUGGAGACAUGCCGGCCGUGUAAACCCCAUCCGGAGCAAGACCAAAGAGGGGCCAAAAGGCAGUUGCUCGCUGCCUCCCGGGAGGUAGGUCGCUGGAGCUUGUCAGCAAUGGCAAGUCGAGAUAGAUGAUUGUCAAAUACAGAACCCGGCUUACAGCUCUGCCCAAUUU